AGUGAACGCUGGCGGUAGGCCUAACACAUGCAAGUCGAACGGCAGCACAGUAAGAGCUUGCUCUUAUGGGUGGCGAGUGGCGGACGGGUGAGGAAUACAUCGGAAUCUACUUUUUCGUGGGGGAUAACGUAGGGAAACUUACGCUAAUACCGCAUACGACCUACGGGUGAAAGCAGGGGAUCUUCGGACCUUGCGCGAUUGAAUGAGCCGAUGUCGGAUUAGCUAGUUGGCGGGGUAAAGGCCCACCAAGGCGACGAUCCGUAGCUGGUCUGAGAGGAUGAUCAGCCACACUGGAACUGAGACACGGUCCAGACUCCUACGGGAGGCAGCAGUGGGGAAUAUUGGACAAUGGGCGCAAGCCUGAUCCAGCCAUACCGCGUGGGUGAAGAAGGCCUUCGGGUUGUAAAGCCCUUUUGUUGGGAAAGAAAAGCAGCAGGUUAAUACCCCGCUGUUCUGACGGUACCCAAAGAAUAAACACCGGCUAACUUCGU
rnacentral:rRNA from 1 species